rfam:Heterocephalus glaber contig104991, whole genome shotgun sequence.
AUCUAUGGCCAUACCACCCUGAAUGUGCCUAAUCUUGUCUGAUCUCAGAAGCUAAGCAGGGUCGGGCCUGGUUAGUACUUGGAUGGGAGAAUAUUUUUCCCAUUUUCU